GUGGGCAUCGUAUAAUGGUUAUUACCUCAACCUUCCAAGUUGAAGAUGUGGGUUCGAUUCCCAUUGCCCGCU
rnacentral:tRNA from 1 species